AUCGCUGUGGGUCGGAGAUGACGGCAUAAGGCAAGACAAAACCCAGGAAACAAGUAAAAUAUCUCACCUCUGGACUCUCCUGGUAUCCCCUAGAUUUCUCCCCCAGAGUUUGAAAAGGUGAAGACUGCAGUGCUUGAACUGAGCAAUCGUGGAUCUCCGUGGGUAAAACACAGACUUGAAAGUGUCUCUCUUCCAUUUUCUCUCCUUUCUUCCUGAAAAAGGGCAGAAAACCAAUUUGAUAUUCACAGAAAGCUGUGUUUGUUCUGUUCCUCACAGACAAGAUGGAGCAUUCAAAGGGCAGGGGUUUAAUUAGGGGAGAAAAGGAGGAGGAAAAGACUCACGUGGUUAAUGAUUUUGUCUGGUUUUAGUGUAUGUGGACAGAUUUUAAUGUUCAGGAGUACCAAGAUCACCACUGGUGACCGGUUUUACUCUUUGGAGAUUCUACUGUGUCAAUUCAUAUCCCACAUCGCUCCGAGAAUGGUGAAACAUCUUAACUGUAUUGCAAUAGGAUGAGCCUUAAAGAUUUGUAAGAAUAAACACUUUUAGAUUAAAAGAGAAAGAUGAAUUCAUCAGUAAGCUUUCUUUAAUGUGCCAAUAAACCAUGAAAUCAACAUCUUUCUGCCUCAAA